rnacentral:rRNA from 1 species
AGGGCACCACCAGGAGUGGAGCCUGCGGCUUAAUUUGACUCAACACGGGGAAACUUACCCGGCCUGGACACUGGAAGGAUUGACAGAUUGAGAGCUCUUUCUUGAUUCAGUGGGUGGUGGUGCAUGGCCGUUCUUAGUUGGUGGAGCGAUUUGUCUGGUUAAUUCCGAUAACGAACGAGACUCUAGCCUAUUAAAUAGGCUCUCGGCUUUUAAACGCCGGGAGGACUUCUUAGAGGGACAGGUGGCGGUUCAGCCGCACGAAAGAGAGCAAUAACAGGUCUGUGAUGCACUUUGUUGUCCGGGGCCGCACGCGCGCUACACUGAAGAGAUCAGCGUGCUUUACGUUCCUGCUCCGACCGGAGUGGGGAACCCAGUGAACCUUCUUCGUGAUUGGGAUAGAAGAUUGUAAUUAUUCUUCUUGAACGAGGAAUUCCCAGUAAAUGCGAGUCAUAAGCUCGCGUUGAUUACGUCCCUGCCCUUUGUACACACCGCCCGUCGCUACUACCGAUUGAACGAUUU